GGAAAUUCUACACAGGGAGCAUUUAUUUAUUUGUAUUUCCAGUACAUCAAUUUUUAGAGAAAGCAUUAGAUAUACACUUUUAAUGAAAUGAGGAAAAAUUAAUUGACAGUUUGACUAGAUGAAUUUUCAUAAGUAAAAAGAAAACACCCAACUAAUAAGCCUGUGAUUUAAAGGUGAGAUGCUACUUGGUACAAAUUAGGAUUGAAUGUGUAGAUAUGGACAUAAAGAGUGGAAUAACCGACAUUGGAGACUCCAGAAAGUGGGAGGCUGAGAAAAGGUUUAGGGAUGAAAAAUUACCUACUGGGCACAAUGUAUGCUUCUCUGGGUGUUAGGUACACUAAAAGCCCACAUUUUACCACUAUGCAAUAUACCCAUGUAACAAAACUGCACUUGUACCCCCUAAAUCUAUUUUAUUUUUUGAGAUGGAAUUUCGCUCUUGUUGCCCAGGAUGGAGUGCAAUGGCGCCAUCUCGGCUCCCUGCAACCUCUGCCUCCCGCGUUCAAGUGAUUCUCCUGCCUCAGCCUCCCAAGUAGCAGGGAUUACAGGCACCCACUACCACGCCUGGCUAAUGUUUUGUAUUUUUAGUUAGCAAUGGGGAAAGAAUACAGUGAUUUGAAUUGAACUAAAGCGUACUCAGAGAAGUGCUCCCAGCAGAGUAGGUGCUACUUCUGCCAGUCUCUCCAUCUUACCCUUCCAUGAGGCUUAUGUACAGAAUGCCUAUUUACUGCUGACCUUCUCCAGUAUGGCAGUGCCAUUCCUAUGUGCUAAGAAUGUAUACACCGGGCAUAUCUUGAUCCAAGUUUUAAUAACCAUACGUUCUGAUCCUAUAAAUUACACAUUAUUCAUUCUAAAAUUUCGUAGAGAUCUAGGAGUGCUCUGUGUCCUAAAAUGUAUCAGUGUUUCCAAACUGGGGGUGCAGAAUCUUUAGGGGCACACAACCUGUCUCUUCCACUGUUGCUCUUCUCUUUCCUUAUUGUUACAACUGUUUCCCCCCCUCUAACAUGUCCUUAUUCUCAUGUUUAGAUAUCCUUUGCCCUCCCCUUCCAUCCUUGUUAGUUUAUCUUCUGGGAGAAAUUUUAAAACUCUCAAUACUUGUUAUUAUUGGUAAUGAUAAAUAGGGAAAACCUGUCACACCUUCUGAAGUUGUGGAAUGACAGAGAGGCAACCCUUUGUAAAUCCACAGGUGCCACUAAAAAGUGUUUGUUUUGGUUCUUUUUGUUACAUAUGAUUGCAGCAAAGGCUUUGAUAUAUUUUUCAGUCUACAACUAAAUUACUUGACCUCUCUGGAUCUGUUACCUCUUCCAUAAAAGGAGGCAGGUCUAUCACUAACAUCAUAUUAAUUGGCUGACUGAUUGAUUCAAUAAAUAUUUAUUCUACUGAUCCAAGUACUCUUAAGCUACUUCAGGUAAAAAAAAAAACCAAUGAUCUACAUAUUUGGAUCGCUGAGAACCAUAGUAAUGACCUGUGAAUGAAAAUGUCUUUUAAAAAAUAUCCAAUUAAUAAAGCUCUACAAAC
rnacentral:lncRNA from 10 species